UACGUAGGGUGCAAGCGUUGUUCGGAAUCACUGGGCGUAAAGAGAGCGUAGGCGGGAUUGUAAGUUAGAAGUUUAAUACAAGGGCUCAACCCUUGGCUGGCUUUUAAUACUGCAGUUCUUGAAUGUGGGAGAGGGCGAUGGAAUUCCAGGUGUAGCGGUGGAAUGCGUAGAUAUCUGGAAGAACACCAGUAGCGAAGGCGGUCGCCUGGCCUAACAUUGACGCUGAGGCUCGAAAGCUAGGGGAGCAAACAGG
rnacentral:rRNA from 2 species